rnacentral:rRNA from 1 species
ACGCUGGCGGCGUGCCUAAUACAUGCAAGUAGAACGCUGAAGCUUGGUGCUUGCACCGAGCGGAUGAGUUGCGAACGGGUGAGUAACGCGUAGGUAACCUGCCUCUUAGCGGGGGAUAACUAUUGGAAACGAUAGCUAAUACCGCAUAAAAGUCGAUAUCGCAUGAUGUUGACUUGAAAGGUGCAAUUGCAUCACUAAGAGAUGGACCUGCGUUGUAUUAGCUAGUUGGUGAGGUAACGGCUCACCAAGGCGACGAUACACAGCCGACCUGAGAGGGUGAUCGGCCACACUGGGACUGAGACACGGCCCAGACUCCUACGGGAGGCAGCAGUAGGGAAUCUUCGGCAAUGGGGGCAACCCUGACCGAGCAACGCCGCGUGAGUGAAGAAGGUUUUCGGAUCGUAAAGCUCUGUUGUAAGAGAAGAACGAGUGUGAGAGUGGAAAGUUCACACUGUGACGGUAACUUACCAGAAAGGGACGGCUAACUACGUGCCAGCAGCCGCGGUAAUACGUAGGUCCCGAGCGUUAUCCGGAUUUAUUGGGCGUAAAGCGAGCGCAGGCGGUUAGAUAAGUCUGAAGUUAAAGGCUGUGGCUUAACCAUAGUACGCUUUGGAAACUGUUUAACUUGAGUGCAGAAGGGGAGAGUGGAAUUCCAUGUGUAGCGGUGAAAUGCGUAGAUAUAUGGAGGAACACCGGUGGCGAAAGCGGCUCUCUGGUCUGUAACUGACGCUGAGGCUCGAAAGCGUGGGGAGCAAACAGGAUUAGAUACCCUGGUAGUCCACGCCGUAAACGAUGAGUGCUAGGUGUUGGGUCCUUUCCCGGGACUCAGUGCCGCAGCUAACGCAUUAAGCACUCCGCCUGGGGAGUACGACCGCAAGGUUGAAACUCAAAGGAAUUGACGGGGGCCCGCACAAGCGG